rnacentral:rRNA from 1 species
GAUGAAUGCUGGCGGCGUGCCUAACACAUGCAAGUCGAGCGGCAGCGAGGGGUGCUUGCACCCUGUCGGCGAGCGGCGAACGGCUGAGUAACGCGUAGGAAUUUGCCCCAAAGUGAGGAAUAACUGCCCGAAAGGGUAGCUAAUGCCGCAUAUGGUCUUCGGAUUAAAGGAUUUAUCCGCUUUGGGAGAAGCCUGCGUUGGAUUAGGUUGUUGGUAGGGUAAUGGCCUACCAAGCCGACGAUCCAUAGCUGGUCUGAGAGGAUGAUCAGCCAGACUGGAACUGAGACACGGUCCAGACUCCUACGGGAGGCAGCAGUGAGGAAUCUUCCACAAUGGGCGAAAGCCUGAUGGAGCAACGCCGCGUGAAGGAUGAAGGCCUUCGGGUUGUAAACUUCUUUUAUGAGUGAAGAAUAUGACGGUAACUCAUGAAUAGGCACCGGCUAACUACGUG